rnacentral:rRNA from 1 species
GAUCAUGGCUCAGAUUGAACGCUGGCGGCAUGCUUUACACAUGCAAGUCGAACGGUAACAGGGAGCUUGCUCCGCUGACGAGUGGCGAACGGGUGAGUAAUGCAUCGGAACGUACCCAAUCGGUGGGGAUAACGUAGCGAAAGUUACGCUAAUACCGCAUACGUCCUGAGGGAGAAAGCGGGGGAUCGCAAGACCUCGCGCUAUCAGAUGAGCCUGCGUAAGAUUAGCUAGUUGGUAGGGUAAAGGCCUACCAAGGCGACGAUCUUUAGCUGUUCUGAGAGGAUGAUCAGCCACACUGGGACUGAGACACGGCCCAGACUCCUACGGGAGGCAGCAGUGGGGAAUUUUGGACAAUGGGCGCAAGCCUGAUCCAGCAAUGCCGCGUGCAGGAAGAAGGCCUUCGGGUUGUAAACUGCUUUUGUACGGAACGAAAAGGUCCGGGUUAAUACCCUGGGCUCAUGACGGUACCGUAAGAAUAAGCACCGGCUAACUACGUG